rnacentral:tRNA from 3 species
GCGGGUGUAAUUCAGUGGUAGAAUGCGAGCUUCCCAAGCUUGAAACGAGGGUUCGAUCCCCUUCAUCCGCUCCA